UACAGAGGUCCCAAGCGUUGUUCGGAUUCAUUGGGCGUAAAGGGUGCGUAGGCGGCGCGGUAAGUCGGGUGUGAAAUCUCGGGGCUUAACUCCGAAACUGCAUUCGAUACUGCCGGGCUUGAGGACUGGAGAGGAGACUGGAAUUUACGGUGUAGCGGUGAAAUGCGUAGAUAUCGUAAGGAAGACCAGUGGCGAAGGCGGGUCUCUGGACAGUUCCUGACGCUGAGGCACGAAGGUCAGGGGAGCAAACGGG
rnacentral:rRNA from 1 species